UACUUAACGGUGAUGGUACUCAACCUGGC
rnacentral:piRNA from 1 species